UUGGUAAUACCAAAUAUAAAUAGCUCAUGUCACACCACAUAACAUCAUGAUUUCGCAUUCUGCCAAAUGAAGGAGGAUUAGUCACAUAUAAAUCCUUUGCGAAUAUUUAAGUUUCUUAUGGUAAUUGAUGGUUUUCAUGACAAGGAUGAAGUCCACCGACAAUCACCACUUGCGGAUGUCAAAGUAGUCAAGCGAAUCAACGAAGAUAGAGUGAAGUUUCUACUAUAAUUGAUAAAAGGUAAUGAAAUAUUUGAUGCAAGUCGACCUAAGAUAAAAUUGAUUAUUGACAAACAUAGUUGGAUGAACAUAGAUCUUCUCUGCGACAUCAAUCUCUUUGAGCGAAAUUACUAGGGAUUUCAUUUGCAGCUUUUUCUCCUCGUGUCAUUUGCAUAUUCCACUCGUGUGAACGACAAUGGUUCUCCUUUGCAGUAUUUUUCUUUUUUAAGAAAUGAAAAAUGAUUUUUUUGUCCCAAAUUUAAUGUAUUUUUUCCCUUUAAACCCAAAU
rnacentral:lncRNA from 1 species